rnacentral:rRNA from 1 species
UACGUAGGUGGCAAGCGUUGUCCGGAAUUAUUGGGCGUAAAGCGCGCGCAGGCGGUCCUUUAAGUCUGAUGUGAAAGCCCACGGCUCAACCGUGGAAGGUCAUUGGAAACUGGGGGACUUGAGUGCAGAAGAGGAAAGUGGAAUUCCAAGUGUAGCGGUGAAAUGCGUAGAGAUUUGGAGGAACACCAGUGGCGAAGGCGACUUGCUGGUCUGUAACUGACGCUGAGGCGCGAAAGCGUGGGGAGCAAACAGG